UACGUAGGUGGCGAGCGUUAUCCGGAUUUAUUGGGCGUAAAGCGUGCGCAGGCGGCUUGUUAAGUCUAAGAUUAAAGCCCGGAGCUUAACUCCGGUUCGUCUUAGAAACUGGCAGGCUUGAGUAUGGUAGAGGCAAAUGGAAUUCCUAGUGUAGCGGUGGAAUGCGUAGAUAUUAGGAGGAACACCAGUGGCGAAGGCGGUUUGCUGGGCCAUCACUGACGCUCAUGCACGAAAGCGUGGGGAGCAAAUAGG
rnacentral:rRNA from 1 species